GGAGGAGUGCAAGAGUGGUUUAUUUGGCCGGUCUCGAAAACCGAGCGGGUCGCAAGACUCACAGAGGUUCAAAUCCUCUCUCCUCCG
rfam:Microgenomates (Daviesbacteria) bacterium GW2011_GWB1_41_5 TT67_C0006, whole genome shotgun sequence.